CUCAAAAAUGAUGUGUUAAAUAAUUACACAUUUUUUGUGUUAUUACAAUUUUAACACAAUUUGUGUUAUUUUGUGUUGUUACUGUGUUAUAUUACUGGAAUAUACUGCCCAACACAAAAUGUGUUAAAUUAUUGGCCAAUCCCUGGUGUCCUGGAUGAGCCGUUACCCUGAGAGGUUCUUUUCUCAGCACUUCAAUUUAUCUUGGCGCACUGGAAGAAGGUGCAAGUGGCACACAGAGUGGAUGUAAAUGUCUGAAUAAAAGCUACAAGGUUGUGGAUUGCUGCUAGACAUCCAACGUUGGAGGUUUUUGCAGAGUUUCCACGCUUUGUGGACAUGCCAUAUAUGAAUUUGGAAAGAUGUUUCCUGGAAAAGCUGUUGUUCAUCCGAAAAUGGA